GACGAACGCUGGCGGCGUGCCUAAUACAUGCAAGUUGAGCGCUGAAGGUUGGUACUUGUACCAACUGGGUGAGCAGCGAACGGGUGAGUAACGCGUGGGGAAUCUGCCUUUGAGCGGGGGACAACAUUUGGAAACGAAUGCUAAUACCGCAUAAAAACUUUAAACACAAGUUUUAAGUUUGAAAGAUGCAAUUGCAUCACUCAAAGAUGAUCCCGCGUUGUAUUAGCUAGUUGGUGAGGUAAAGGCUCACCAAGGCGAUGAUACAUAGCCGACCUGAGAGGGUGAUCGGCCACAUUGGGACUGAGACACGGCCCAAACUCCUACGGGAGGCAGCAGUAGGGAAUCUUCGGCAAUGGACGAAAGGCUGAACGGGCAACGCCGCGUGAGGGAAGAAAGGUUUCGGAUCGUAAAACUCUGUUGGUAGAGAAGAAAGUUGGUGGGAGUGGAAAGCUCAUCAAGUGACGGUAACUACCCAGAAAGGGACGGCUAACUACGUG
rnacentral:rRNA from 1 species